rnacentral:rRNA from 1 species
GCCCUUAGUAACGGCGAAGUGAAGCGGCAACAGCUCAAAUUUGAAAUCUGGCACUUGUGCCCGAGUUGUAAUUUGUAGAGGAUGCUUUUGGCGACGCGCCUUCCGAGUUCCCUGGAACGGGACGCCAUAGAGGGUGAGAGCCCCGUCCGGUCGUGCGCCUAGCCUCUGUAAAGCUCCUUCGACGAGUCGAGUAGUUUGGGAAUGCUGCUCUAAAUGGGAGGUAUACGUCUUCUAAAGCUAAAUACCGGCCAGAGACCGAUAGCGCACAAGUAGAGUGAUCGAAAGAUGAAAAGCACUUUGAAAAGAGGGUUAAAUAGUACGUGAAAUUGCUGAAAGGGAAGCGCUUAUGACCAGACUUGGGCGCGGCGGAUCAUCCGGCGUUCUCGCCGGUGCACUCCACCGCCCCAGGCCAGCAUCAGUUCGCGCCGGGGGACAAAGGCUUCGGGAAUGUGGCUCCCUCGGGAGUGUUAUAGCCCGUUGCGUAAUACCCUGGUGCGGACUGAGGUCCGCGCUCUGCAAGGAUGCUGGCGUAAUGGUCAUCAGUGACCCGUCUUGAAACACGGACCAAGGAGUCGUCUUCGUAUGCGAGUGUUCGGGUGUCAAACCCCUACGCGGAAUGAAAGUGAACGUAGGAGAGAGCUUCGGCGCAUCUCCGACCGAUCCUGAUGUUCUCGGAUGGAUUUGAGUAAGAGCAUACGGGGCCGGACCCGAAAGAAGGUGAACUAUGCCUGUGUAGGGUGAAGCCAGAGGAAACUCUGGUGGAGGCUCGCAGCGGUUCUGACGUGCAAAUCGAUCGUCAAACAUGGCAUGGGGCGAAAGACU